UUGCGGCAACAGCUGGGCUCUAUUCUCUGUACCAAGUGGGAGCAGGGAUGGAGCCCUGGAGGAGGGAGAAGUUUGCCUCUUGCUCCUCAGUUUCCCUUUGUCAACAUUUCUCCUUAAACUCCCACCAAUUAGAAAUUCAUUCGGGCUAGUGGAUGAAUUAAGGGACUUCAUACAUGCACAGUGUUUAGAACAGUGCCUUCCUGGCCUGGGUGGACAGGCAGAGAGUGGAGGAGCCAGCCAGGUUGCAGGGACAGUGCCUGAGCCCCCAG
rnacentral:lncRNA from 1 species